GACGAACGCUGGCGGCGUGCUUAACACAUGCAAGUCGAGCGGUAAGGCCCUUCGGGGUACACGAGCGGCGAACGGGUGAGUAACACGUGGGUGACCUGCCUCUAGCUCUGGGAUAAGCCUGGGAAAACUGGGUCUAAUACCGGAUAUGACUCCACGGCGCAUGUUGUGGGGUGGAAAGCCUUGUGUGGCUAGAGAUGGGCCCGCGGCCUAUCAGCUUGUUGGUGGGGGAUGGCCUACCAAGGCGACGACGGGUAGCCGGCCUCGAGAGGGCGACCGGCCACACUGGGACUGAGAC
rnacentral:rRNA from 1 species